rnacentral:lncRNA from 10 species
CGGCGAGCCCGCGGUGGGGGUCCCCGCGCCGCCCAGGCCUACCCCGGCUCCUUGGGAUAGAUGGGGAAGCUGAGGCCCAGAAGGGGGCUGAGACCACCUCCCAGUUUCCCCAGUGAGGUGGCGCCUGAGCCACGGCCAGGCCCGGCCUCCUUCCACCCGGCCCUGCUGUGCGCGCGGCGGGUGCUGACCUGGCGAGGCCGGACAGGGGACCAGGUCGGGGUGACCGUCACUGACACCUGGACAGUCCUCGUUGUGUUCGGGGUGGGAAGCCCACGGUGAGUCUGGGGACCCAAGAUCUUAUUUUCCUUUCUGUCACCCCCGCUUGGUUUUGGAUUCCGUGACAGCUGGACCCGGCUUCUGCGUGAUCUUCAGAGGGAAGGCACCAGGAGUGGACUGCGGGACACCCAGAGUGGACUGCAGGAGGACACAGAAGCUAGGCUGAAGCGGGAGGAAGCUGGGAACCCUGCACGGGGCCACUGCGCACUGGGACUCGUUACUGGUCCCCAAGACUCAGGGAGAAUGGGGAAGAGUGUAUCACAGCCAUUGGGAACUUUCUUCACCCAUCAAAGCCUCAGGGCUGAAGCAUCCUGAACAAGAACUCAGGAGAGUGAAAGAAACAGUUACCUGUCGGCUGCAGCUGGUACCAGCUCCCCACCCCGUACAGAGACCGAAGCGUCCUCUCUCUCCCCAUCACCCAGCACCAGACUCUGCCCCGCGACCUCAGCCUGCACCUGCUUCCUGGCUCCAUCCAGCCUUCCAGCCUCACUAGAUCAUCAUGGGCCACUGGCCAACACACAGGGCAGUGCCGAGCCCAGGCCGUGGUCACACAUGGCUGGGUUAGUAGCUGAAAACAUUGUUUUUCACUGGCCUCACAGUAAUGGCACCUGCCCCCAUUUUCUGUGAUUGAAUUUUUGGAUCCUGCUACCAGGUUAUGAUAGAUUUUAUGGUAUGUCUCAAGAUAUUGAGAUAAAGGUAAUAAAACAGCUAUAAAGUCCUGGCUCAAGAAGUGUUACAAACCCAAGCAGGGUAAAUACAAGAAAACUGCACCCAGACACAACAUAGUAAAAUUGCUGAAAACCAAAGAUGAAUAGAACACUUAACAGUUGGAGGAAAAAAGCCACAUUACCUUCAUAAGGACACCAAUCACACUAACAUCUGACUUCGAAAUAGAAAUAUAAAAGCCAAACUACAAGGGAAUGUGAUCUUCAAAAUAUUGAAAGAAUUUAAUUGUUAAGUGAAAUAAUUAACUGCCAACCUAAAUUCUAUUCCUAGUGGAAAUACUCUCCAAGAAUAAAGGUGAAAUAAAUACAGACUCACACAAGAGAAAUCAAGAGCGUUCUUCCUCAGGAGACAUGAGCUGAUUGGUAUAGAAGAGGUGUUUGAAACGUCCUUAGAGGGAGGGCUAGAGACACAGGGAGGAGAAACCUUCAGAACACACCUUCCAUUGAGGGCCAAAAAAGUCAACUAUCGAUUCUUUGAAAGUGCCCCAAACUCGUAAAUCUCUGGUGAUGCUGACCAAAAAAACAAUGAAGGAAGGCACCCUGUGAUGGGGAAGGAAAAGGGGAGAUUGCUGGAGAUCUGUGGAUAUUAAAAAUAGGCACAUAUACACUAUGGAAUACUAUGCAGCCAUAAAAAAGGAUGAGUUCAUGUCCUUUGUAGUGACAUGGAUGAAGCUGAAAACCAUCAUUCUGAGCAAACUUUCGCAAGGACAGAAAACCAAACACUGCAUGUUCUCACUCAUAGGUGGGAAUUGAACAAUGAGAACACUUGGACACAGGGUGGGGAACAUCACACACCGGGGCCUGUCGGGGGGUGGGGGAGGGGGGAGGGAUAGCAUUAGGAGAUAUACCUAAUGUAAAUGAUGAGUUAAUGGGUGCAGAACACCAGCAUGGCACAUGGAUACAUAUGUAACUAACCUGCACAUUGUGCACAUGUACCCUAGAACUUAAAGUAUAAUGAUAAUAGAAAAAAAAUAGAGCACAAGGAACAUGCUAACAAAUUUGAAAGUUUUGAUGAGAUGGAAAAAUUCCUAGAAAAUUAUAACUUACCAAAACUGAAAGAAGAAAGAUAAAUGACCCCACAUUUGUUAAAUAAAUUGGAUCUGUCAUGAAAAUAUUUCACACAGUGGAACCUCUAGUCACAAAUGCUUCACCAGUGAAUUCUACUAAACAUUUAAGGAAUAAAUAGCACCCAUCUCACACAAACUCUUCUAGAGCCGAGGCAUAAUGGGAACAGCAACUCCACCUGUCAUGUUUCACCUCCAGGAAAACGUGAUACCCAAACUCAACAGAGAAAAAAUAAACUUACAGACCAGUCUCACUCAUGAACAUAAACAGAAAUCCUCAACAAGAUAUUAACAUAUAAGACCUGGCAGUUGGCCAGGCGUGGUGGCUCACGCCUGUAAUCCCAGCACUUUGGGAGGCCGAGGUGGGUGGAUCACGAGGUCAGGAGAUCGAGACCAUCCUGGCUAACAUGGUGAAACCCUGUUUCUACUAAAAAUAAAAAAAUUAGCCAGGCGUGGUGGCGGGCGCCU